GGUGGAAGGCCCACCGGGAUCGGCUGUCGGAAGCAGAUUCCAAACCACUUCAUGCUGCUGUGGUAAAGAGCCAUGGUAGUGAGCGAUGAAGUAAAGCGUGAGUGAAAACUCAGCAGGU
rnacentral:ncRNA from 1 species